rnacentral:rRNA from 1 species
GUCCAUGGCCAUGCCGCCCUGAAUGCGCCCAAUCUUGGAAGCUAAGCAGGGUCGGGCCUGAUUAGUUGGAUGGGAGAUAAAGAAGAAAGUGUUCUCUGUAGUGCCUGGCCA